AGUGAACGCUGGCGGUAGGCCUAACACAUGCAAGUCGAACGGCAGCACAGUAAGAGCUUGCUCUUACGGGUGGCGAGUGGCGGACGGGUGAGGAAUACAUCGGAAUCUACUUUUUCGUGGGGGAUAACGUAGGGAAACUUACGCUAAUACCGCAUACGACCUACGGGUGAAAGCAGGGGAUCUUCGGACCUUGCGCGAUUGAAUGAGCCGAUGUCGGAUUAGCUAGUUGGCGGGGUAAAGGCCCACCAAGACGACGAUCCGUAGCUGGUCUGAGAGGAUGAUCAGCCACACUGGAACUGAGACACGGUCCAGACUCCUACGGGAGGCAGCAGUGGGGAAUAUUGGACAAUGGGCGCAAGCCUGAUCCAGCCAUACCGCGUGGGUGAAGAAGGCCUUCGGGUUGUAAAGCCCCUUUGUUGGGAAAGAAAAGCAGCAGGUUAAUACCCCGCUGUUCUGACGGUACCCAAAGAAUAAGCACCGGCUAACUUCGUG
rnacentral:rRNA from 1 species